CACGGGGGCAAGGCGGUGCAGCUCCACACGGAACGUGCCUAGCUUAGCUUCGCCUACCUAGGUAGCUGCCUGCCGGGCCCUAUAAAUCCCUCGCGCCGCGGCGAGCUGCGGAGGGAAUAUCUCGGCGAGCUGUCUGUCCGUCCGUCGUGUUUCACAAGCUCUCGAAAUUUGGUCGCCUCAUUCACAGCUAGCUAGCCCCGCGCUCGUGCUGCCUGCCGGCCGGUCAUGUCGACGACGACGCAGAGCGCGGCCCUGUCGGCGAAAUGCGCGGCGUGGGCGCAGGAGCGGCGGCCGUUCACGCACCCGAUCGAGAUCCCGGCGGCCUCCGGCGCGCCGGACGAGCGGAGGGGCCGCGGCGAGGAGGAGGACGGCGGGGAGGUGGAGCCGCCGCACGUGCUGAUGGCGCGGCGCAGGGCGGCCUCCUCGGUGUGCUCCGGCCAGGGGCGGACGCUCAAGGGCCGGGACCUCACGCGCACGCGCGACUCCGUCCUCCGCAUGACCGGCUUCAUCGAGAGCUAGCCCGUCCUCCGCCCGUCUCGUUCGUCGCCAACGGCGCGCGGCCGGGCUCAAGGUCUUCUUGGGUCGAUCCAGUUUGUGUAGAGUAAAUAAGAUAGCUACGGAGCCUAGGGGCGAAUGCCGCUGAAUUUUCUUCAAUCGGUCCCAUUUGUGAAUUGGUUGGAAUUGGAAGAGCGAGAUGAAAUUAAAUCCGUUGGUGUAAAACUUAUUCUGUUUGUACGCGCGCGCGCGCGUGUGUGACAUAUACUACUCCAUAUGUAAAAAAUAAUAAGUACAUAUGGUCAAAAUGCAAAUGCAAUGUGGUUUCUUUGUACUGCGCUCCAUCUACACAUCGCUGAGUCGCUGCUGAUUCAGUAACUGCGACGCGCGCGCACACUGCACCGGCAUCUCUGUGGACUCAUUCAAACAACUAUUGAAUCAGCAAUGGGUAAGUUCUGGAAAUCCCCAUGUAAGAUAACACCGGAUAGGACAAAAAUCGCUGGACGGGUUGUUGGGUAAUCAGCUUAGAGAGUCCUAGAUAUAUACCCCAUCCACCAUGUAAUACUACUACUAUUAAUACGUACUUACCCUAUCCAAAAUACACACCAAAGCUAGCUAGGGGGUUCAAGUCAAGCAAAGGACGAUGCAACGGGAAGAGCAGGAGGAGGAAGAAUUCCAUGAAGCAGACAUACUGUGGCCAGAUGCAGCCCAGGAUCCGGGCUACUCUGACGACGACGGCGACGAAGGCCAUGACGAGUACCGCCGUCCCGCCCGUCCGGCCAACGCGCCAAACCGGCAGAAACCGUCUUCCCCCAUCGACAUCCCCGGAAAGACCGGUAGGGCUACUGGUGCAAAAGCGCCGGCUCAGCAGGCCGGGUUCAGCAAGUUCGGCGCGAGCCUUGCGGGCGCCGGCGCCGGCAGCGUGAUGAUCGGCAGCCAAGUCUUCGUGCCGCCGCACGUCAUCGUCGAUCGGAGGGCCAAGAGGGACAUGGCGAUGCUGAUGCUCGUCGACGCGCCCAAGGUCCGGAGAGUGAGGGCGAUGGUGAUGCUCGAGUAGCACCGAAAGUUUUUUUUUUCCUACCGUACCGAAAGUCUUUGGUGGAAAUGUUCGUUCCAUUUCAAAUAAUUUUGAACCAUUUUGUGUAAUUGACGUGAAAGCGAGCUCCUGCUACUGUUUACCUCGAAAUGGUACAGCGAGUCAUGUAAUCCGAA
rnacentral:rRNA from 1 species